UAGGGACUAUUAGCAAUUAUC
rnacentral:piRNA from 1 species